UCCAAAUAUAGUCUGCUUGGCCACUGAGGAAGAGAGAUUUGUUGCUAGCAACAAGUACUUAGAACGUGUGUGAUUUGGCAUGUCUCGAACUGUGAAGUAGAUGCAAUGCAGGCAAAAAAUCGAUGAUGCUGUGGGGAGGGGCUGUGUAGGGUGUUAAUCGCCAUCUGCAGUGCCUGGAGGUGGGGUGGGGAGAAGUGAAGAAUCUCUUCCUUUUUAAUAGAUUUUCAAGAUGGGAAAAUCAUAUUGCAACCAGCAGGCAUUUGGAAACAAUUGUGCCGAAGGCAGAAAGUAUAUCUAGCGUUAAGCUGAAAAAACUGGACGCUCCUAGCAAACUCACUUUGCAGAUUUCUGGAUGUCAGAAGAAAACGCCAGAGGAUUUCACUCGGCUUUGACCCCUUACUGCUUCCAGCCACGUACCCUGGGCAGUAGAACAAAGGAACAGACGGCAGAGUCGCUUAAGAGGAGGCCCUGUUAGGAGUUCGAGGUGUGUGGCUCCUUCCUCUCUGAUAAGAACCAUCCCCCAGUCUCCAGACAAAUAGGUAUAAGUAUCUUUUCCUCAUCUAUCCCAGGCUUAUGGCUUAUAUCCCUAAACACAAGACAGAUUAACAAGGGUAAAGCCUACAUAUUUCUUUAAUAUAAAUUUUAUAUGACAUGGAAACUUCAAAAAUGAAGAUCCACCCCACCCCGCCCCAACGUAAACAGAGAAACCUGUGUAUUUUCACGCUCAGGGUUGAUGAAAGCGUGAUUGGACAAAGGGGAUAUGACGUCAUGGUAAUGAAUUGGGGGGGGAACUUAGCAAGGCCUGUUUGUUCAGAUUCUUCUUGGUGUUUCUGUGUCUUCCUUACUUUUCUCUGGGAGUAGGGAGGGCAUCCAUCACAUGAGGUCUUAUGACCUGCUACAAGGGAGAAGGGAGAAGGCAAGGUGAAAGUGGCCUUCCUGCUUCUGUUCUUUUCCAAAAUGCCAUGGUGCUAUAUUUUACUGUAUUAUUUAUUUAUUUUGAGAUGGAGUUUCACUCUUGUUGCCCAGGCAGGAGUGCAAUGGCAUGAUCUCGGCUCACCGCAACCUCCGCCUCCUGAGUUCAAGCGAUUCUCCUACCUCAACUCCCAGAGUGGCUGGGACUACAGGCAUUCACCACCACGCCAAGCCAAUUUUUUUUGUAUUUUUAGUAGACAUGAGGUUUCUCCAUGUUGGUCAGGCUGGUCUUGAACUCCCAACCUCAGGUGAUCUGCUCACUUUGGCCUCCCAAAGUGCUGGGAUUACAGGCAUGAACCACUGGCCCAGGGUGCUGUAUUUUAAGGUAGUGUGUCCUGAACCCCAUCAACCUAGGCCUGCCCAGGUUCACUAUGACCACAGGGGAUGGUCCACACAUGAAAUAAAGCCAGGUCCCAAGUACACAUGGGAGUUUCAUAAAAAGAAAUCCACCCUUAAUAUCACAUUAGGAAAAAAUAAGAUAGACAGAAUAUUUUCAAAUCUGAGCUGGCAUUCAGGUCUAGUCAGUUAGCAGAAAAAAAUUUUUUUUUUUUUUUUUUGAGAUGGAGUUUCGCUCUUGUUACCCAGGCUGGAGUGCAAUGGCGCGAUCUCGGCUCACCGCAACCUCCGCCUCCUGGGUUCAAGGCAAUUCUCCUGCCUCAGCCUCCUGAGUAGCUGGGAUUACAGGCACGCGCCACCAUGCCCAGCUAAUUUUUUGUAUUUUUAGUAGAGACAGGGUUUCACCAUAUUGACCAGGAUGGUCUCUAUCUCUUGACCUCGUGAUCCACCCGCCUCGGCCUCCCAAAGUGCUGGGAUUACAGGCGUAAGCCACUGCACCCGGUCACAGAAAAAAGUGUUUUUGAAGAAAUGUAAUCUAGUAGCAGUCAUUUAUAGACCUGCUGAAUACAGACAUUUAUCUACAAUUCAGUCAUACCGAAUCAGCUUCAGAUGGGGGUUCUAGAAUCCUACUGUUGUUAAUAUUUUAAUCUCCUUCUCUUUUUCCUCCUCACUCUUCUGCCCAAGGUCCUGAGUCUACUCUCCUGGUAUCCCAAAGGGAUGUGGUUAGGUUUAUUCUGCAGCUGAAGAAGCUCAUGCUUCAUAGCCUGUGGCUAACACAAGCCUCUUCUGAGCUCUGCACCUCCUUUUGUGUUUGAAUUUGUGAGUUCUACUCCUUCACAAUGACCUCCCAGUUAUUAAGCUCUAGACCCUACAAAACAUGACCCCUCCCCUUGGAGAUGACAGGUAUUGCUGGUCCCCGAGGGAAACCAUGGGUGUCUCCCUGCAGUCUUUUCUAUCCUCAGGGUGGAGCAUGUAUAAGGCAACCCUUCCUCAUGUUAAUAAUGAUGGAUUCCCACUGCAUAACUUGAACAUUUUGUGCUAAAAUACUCGCCACUUCCAGGAAUCAGAGGCCAAAGAAAGGGAAAGUCUCUGUAUCCCUGAGAUAGGGAUUUCACCUCUCAUUCAUAGAUAAGAAAAACGAUGCUCAAAGAGCUUGACAAGUCAUUUAUCUAAGAUGGUGCAGCUGGUAAGAGAUCCAGUCAGAAGUUGAACCCAGGUCCUAAACUCCAAAACCGGUGCUUCUUAUUUUAUCCUAUAUUCCUAAUUCAUCCGAGGCAACCAUUUGAAGAAAGAAAGAAUCUGGACCCUUCUUUUCAGAGUUAGUUAACUGAACCUUCAGUCGCUGAGUAACCUAACCCUAAGAGUGCCAGCAUUUUUAGUGAACACACAUAUGCGUUUUGGGGCUGCUUUCUCUUCUUUCCCUUUCUUUUACACCAAUGUGUGUUUCAGCAGGAAGGCAAUCCUUAUACUUCAGGUGCUGACAUGCUUACUCCACUUCAUACUUUUUGGCUCAAUUUUUAAAGAGGGCUUUAUGACUUGGAGCCAGAGCAAUCCUAACGUGUCUUUGUCACGAACAUGCUAAUAUUUGUGCUAAUGGCAGGGUGCAAAAUCCAGGAAGGCCAAUGACAUGGGGCUGAGAGGCAGGGCCUUCUUGUCACCCCUACAUGACAUAAGGGUUCCAACAAGGUGGGCUUCCAGGUGUUGAUCCAGUGCGGAGUGCAAUGCAGAGGUGACAAGGAAGGGACACUCUAUGAGUUUAUAGGAGCUGUCAUAACAAAGUAUCACCAACUGAGAAGCUUAAAAACCAGUAAUUUAUGGCCUCAUAGUUCUGGAAGCUGGAAAUCCAAGAUCAAGCCACGCUCCCUCUGAAGGCACCAGGGAAGGAUCUAGUGUUCCAGGCUUCCCUCCUAGUUUCUGGUAGUUCCUAGGCUUGUGGCAGCAUGAAUCCAACCUUCACAUGGUAUUUUUCCUCUGUGUGUCUGUGUCCAAACUUUUCCUUUUGUUUUCAUAUAGAGUCUCACACAUCGUCACCAAUGCUGGAAUGCAGUGGCAGGAUGUCAGCUCACCACAACUCCGCCUCCCGGUUUCAAGUGAUUCUCCUGCCUCAGCCUCCCGAGUAGCUGGAACUACAGGCACAUGCCGAGUGGCUGGAACUACAGGUACAUGUCACCACGCCCAGCUAAUUUUUUUUUUUUUUUUUUUUUGAGAUGGAGUUUCGCUCUUGUUACCCAGGCUGGAGUGCAAUGGUGCGAUCUCGGCUCACCGCAACCUGCACCUCCUGGGUUCAGGCAAUUCUCCUGCCUCAGCCUCCUGAGUAGCUGGGAUUACAGGCACGCGCCACCGUGCCCAGCUAAUUUUUAUAUUUUUGGUAGAGAUGGGGUUUUUCCAUGUUGUCCAGGAUGGUCUCAAACUCCUCACCUCAGGUGUUCCGUCUGCCUCAACGUCCCAAAGUGCUGGGAUUACAGGUGUAAGCUACCAUGCCCAGCCCCAAUUUUUUUCUUUAGAUAAGGAUACUCAGUCAUAUUGUAUCGGGGGCUCACCCUACUCCAGUAUUACCUCAUCUAAAUGAAUUAUUAUAUCUGCAACAACUGUAUUUCCAAAUAGAGUCACAUUUUGAGGCACUGGGGUUAGGAUUUCAAAACAUGAAUUUGGAUCAUGAGAACAUAAUUCAACCCAUCACAGACCACCCUCUGGAUCAUCCUCCUCACAUACAAAAUGGAUUCGCCCAAACCCAACACUCCUGAAAGUCUUGAUGUAUUCUAGUGUCGACUCAAAGUUCAGAACCUCAUUUAUAUAUCAUCUACAUGAGGUGUUCGUGACACUCAGUGUGAUUCAUUCUGGAGCAACAUUCUUCUCUAGCUGUGAGCCUAUGAAACCAGACAAGUUUACUUGCAAGACACAAAUGUUAGGACAGCUAUAGGCCAGACAUGCCCAUUCCAAAAGGGAGAAAUCAGAAAGGAAAGGCGGCUCCAAAGUUCCGAGGAGAUUCAAAACCUGGCAGGAUAAAUUCCAUUGGAUUUUAAGCUGUGUGAAUAAUGAUCUUUGGCUUGACGCUCUGUCCUCUGAGCUCAUUUAAAUUAUGCAAAAAAAAAUUAAUUUGCUCAAAGUCUACUGAUUUUAAGUAUUAAUCACAUUUAAAAAAACACCUUCACAGCAACAUGUAGACUGGUGCUUGACCAAGUAAAUGACGCAAUAGCCGAGUCCGGUUAACACAUAAAAUUAACCAUUGCAAAUACUUCUUGAGAAAUUACCAAAAUAUGUCCAAGAUGGGGGAAAGCCAGGAAUAAGCUCUUAGGAGAGAAGGUAAAGACGUAUUUUGGCUGCUUGUCUUGGACUAUGUACCCGAGAGGUGGGACUCAGAGCAAUCAUCAACUGAAGAUUGUACAAAGCAUAGUUUUAAUCUGUCACAAUGGCUUAGAUCAGAGGAAUGCACAGGAAGAACUUUGUGCUUUUGGUCAUGAUAGAGCCAGAGAAUUUUCUUUAUCAUCUAGGGUGGGAAGCAGAUGAGGUGACUAGAAAGUCAAGUGAAAAUAGCAUCAGGAGUAGCCUGAGGGGUACCAGAAUAUGCCACCCCCAGAUACGCCUCUUUGGCAUAUGGAUUAUUUUGAGCUCGAGGCCAUUGGAACCAGCAGACUCAGGAAAAGCUCUAAAACCAGGGCACGUGGUUUCCCUUAAUAAAGGAAAUUCAGAUUUGUAGAGAUAUCUCCCUCUUCUAUACCAGGAAAAGGAGUACUCUUAACAACUUGUCAAUGAAGAAGGUACUGAUUUAAAUCUACAUAACAAAACUCACUAAACAACUCUUGCCUACCGUACUCUUUCUGGUCACCAUCCCAUAACUUGCCUCUCCCACUCAGAACCCUUUUCCUGUGUUUGUGUUAAGGUGAUAUAUAAGCCCAAGUUCUAACCACUCCUUUGGGUUACUCACCUCCGGGUACUUCCAUGUGUAAUCAGGAUGCACAUGUUAAUAAACUGCUGCUUCCUUUUCUCUUGCUAAUCUGUCUUUUGUCAGUCCAAUAUAUAGGGCCCCAGCUGGAGAAUCUAGAAGAGUAGCAGAAAAAAUAAUGUUUUUUCCUCCCUUGUAAGCUCUAAAAGACAACUGUCUGAUCUAGGGCUGGGUGUACUAGGAGGGAGAAAGCCCCUCAUGACCUCCUGAACGUGCCUCACCAGACCAAUAGUGUAUUGUAUUUUAUUUGACUCUCUAUGUAUGUAUGUAUGUAUGUAUGUAUGUAUGUAUGUAUGUAUCUAUCUAUCUAUCUAUCUAUCUAUCUAUCUAUCUAUCUUUCUAACUAUCAGACUUCAAGUGCCAUGUGUUGGUCUUUUGCAAGGAUACCUCCUGAGCAAGCAGCACAGGACCUUAUGCCUAGCAAGUAUUCAAGUAAGAGCUAUUGAAUGAAAAUGUCAGCAGACUGCGCCCAGCUUCCUAAAGCUCAGUGGUGUGUGUGUGUGUGUAUUUUUGAGACAGUCUCACUCUGUCAUCCAGGCUGAGGUGCAGUGGCAUGGUCACUACUUAUUGUGGCCUCAAUAUCCUGGGCUCAAGUGAUCCUCCCACCUCAGUCUCCUGAGUAACUGGGACUACAGGCUGAUUUUUUUUUUUUUUUUUAAUUUUUAGUAGAGAUGGGGUCUCACUAUAUUCCCCAAGCUAGUCUCAAACUCCUGAGCCCAAGUGAUCUUCCAGUCUCGGCCUAAUCCAAGUGCUGAGAUUACAGGAGUGAGCUAGUGUGCUGGUCAACAACAACAUUUUAUAGCAGGGUGAGGAAGAUACAAUUUAGUUUGUGGAGCGCAGUGAACCUAUCUCAAAGCCGUGUUUGCCAACACAGCGCACUCUUUCCCUAGGUCAUGCGGCUGUUUGCACAAGGUGGAUAGCUGAAAAGAGGGAGAUAUUAAAGCACUCCCAGCCACCCCUUGGCUGCCAGAAAAGCCUGGUGGUUGUGUGAUCCUACAUUAAGAUAAAGUGAGUCGGAGGAUGCCAGCCGGCUUUCUUCUAUUCUCAGUCUGUAACCAGAGAUCCUAAUCUUGACGUAAAGUGGAGAUUCACUUCUGGACAUGCUUCAUUCUAAAGGCAUGCAGUGAGGAGAAAGGAAGGAGCACAUUUUGAGGAGGAGGGCGGCCUUUGAGAGAAAUUCCUUCCAGUAGGGUGAGGGCAGUAGCAUGUUACCCUCUUACAUCCUCCUGGAAGCCUCCUGUUUGUCGGUCUGUCUAGGGCCCAUCUUGUGAGCACUGAAGGGAAAGACAUAGGGCAUGCAGCUGGGGUUUGUGAUGAUAUUUCGGCACCCACGCACUGCACAACACAUACGACACGUGAUAUUCCUUUCCCUGGUAUUGCUAACUUGCAAUCUCCGUGGCUCAGGGGCCUCUUGCCUUUGAAUAAGACUUGGGAGAGAAGCAGACGGCAAUCGGCAAUCGAGCCUCUAGCUUUCCAUUGACAAGGAGGCAGCUCCAAACUGGGAUUACUGAUUUCUAUUUCAAAACUGCGUUCAAUUUAGUUGAUUUAAACGACUUGACUUUCCUCUGUGAAAUGACGGCGGCACGUGAGCUCAGCCAGUCGCUCUGUGAAAGGCAUCAACACGCUCCCUGCAGGGACCGAUGGAGCUCCGCCGCCCAUUGUUUAUCUAAAAACAGCGUUUUAUUAUUGUCGCUCAAUUAGUCCAGACAGCGGACACAAAUGACUUUCAACAGCUACAUCCUGAUGCUGUGUAUCACACAUAAAAUGCCAAAGACUGCUCUAAUAGCUAGCUAAUAAAAUCAAAAUGUGCCUUUGUCGACUCGAUGAUUACUCACAUCGUCACUCUUUCUUCUGAAAUCUCUUCUUAAUCUAAUUACAGACAAUAUUUCCACUUUAGUAAAAGAACAUUAACCUCAGUAAUCAACAAUUCUGUCCUCAAUUUAUUUAUGAGCAAGCAAUCAAGGUUUUUCUGAACGUAAACUUUGGAGGAGUGUUUAUUUUCUAUAUACAAACUAGCAUAUUUUUUUCCUCUCAGGUCAAAAUAUUAUUUCCUAUAGGGUUUUUCCCUUCAAGCUUUUCUUCUUCCUAAAAAUUGCACAAUCUGUCAUUUCAUAGGCACCCAUGAAAAGCCAUUCAUAAGUUUCUCCCUGUUUAUAUUAACUGCUGUGAAAACGCUAUUAUACGCAAAUAUUUCAACUGUUUGGCAAACAUGCUUUCAUACACGCACAUUCACCGCAGAGACAGCUGCCUGAAAUAGGAAAGGCCCUUUGAAAAAGAAGUGAAGGCUGGGCACAGUGGCUCACUCCUACAAUCCCAGCACUUUGGGAGGCCAAGGCAGAUGGAUCACGAGGUCAAGAGACCAAGACUAUCCUGGUCAACAUGGUGAAACCCCGUCUUUACUAAAAAUAUAAAAAUUAGCUGGGCGUGGUGGCACACCCUGUAGUCCCAGCUACUCAGGAGGCUGAGGCCGGAGAAUUGCUUGAAACUGGGAAGCAGAGGUUGCAGUGAGCUGAGAUUGCGCCACUGCACUCCAGCCUGGGUAACAAGAGCGAAACUCCAUCUCAAAAAAAAGAAAUCAAAUGCAUUGAGCCACUCAACAUUUGCCAUUUUUCAAUUCCGACUUGGAAGCCUGGAUGACUUUAACAUAUAGAAAUUACAUUUGCCAGUGAUUGCACUAGAACGUUGUUCUUUGAACAGAAAGACCCUGACAGCCGAUUUAUACCUCUAAUUUAGAGAAUGAAGAAGUUGAGGAUCAAGAGAAGUGAAGAGAUUUAGCUCAGGUUGAGCAACUGCAUGAGUGGCCAGUGAGGGACUGGGACCCAGCUGUUCUGAGAGCUCCUUGGAUAGGUGUGUGAGGGAAACACAAAAUACAGAAACUGUAGUAGUAAAGACUCCUCCUUACCUGUGUCAUGAGACCCAGUUCUGCAGUGAGUGUUUAGUUGUUUAGCUGGAUUGAAGCUGCCUUUUGUGGCUGGCCACCACCUCCCACCCCGUUACCUUCAUCUUAAAACACACACGUGUGCUCUUGGGUCAUAUAACAUUUCUCAAGUUUUCAUUUGAGUUUAAGGUUGGACUACAUCCAGGCUAAACAUAAAGGAAACCUCAAGGCCAGCCCUCCCCUCCACAUGGCCCCUGCCAAGUUCCCUCUGGUUUUAGCAUAGAUGGGGAACCAACAUGACCUCAUGGCUCAAGACUCCAACCCCGGACAGGCUUGGUCUCGCCUCCUCUCUGCACUCUACUUGGGGUGAGAAGAAAGGGGGUGAUGCUGGCAGUGUGAGAGGAAUUCCUCCUUUUACCCAUAAGCAGAGAAAUUACAUUAAGUCAGGACUGAAGGCCAAAGUCAAGGAACCUGUGAGGGCAGAAUGAAUGGACGUGCAGUUGGGAGGCCAGAGCUCUGUCCUCCUGAGCCCACUUCUUGCCUGUUACCUUGGACUGAGCAUCCAGCAUUUUAUCAGGAGAACCAGAAGCAGGAGGUCGUGACCAAAGAAGGGCCUAAGAGUCAAGCAACCUUACCUCUGGUCCACAGCAAAACGCAUCUGCCACUUAACCAGCUCUAAGCCAUUUGGGCACAAUUCUUUUUUUAACUAAUUAAUUAAUUUUAGAGAUAGAGUUCUGCUCUGACACCCAGGCUGGAGUGCAGUGGUGUGGCCAAAACUCACUAUAGCCUGGAACUCCUGGGCUCAAGUGACCAUCCCUUCUCAGCCCCUCGAAUAGCUAGGACCACAGGCACAUGUCACCAUGCCUGGCUAACUUUUAAAAUCUUUUUGUAGAAACAGGGCUUACUAUAUCGUCCAGGUUGGUCUUGAACUCCUGGCCUCAAGCCAUUCUUCCACCUUGGCCUUUCAAAGUGCUGGGAACACGGGUGUGAGCCACAGCACCUGGCCACAGUCACAUCCCACAAUUUUCUUCUAAUUAUGUCAUCUUUCCUCUUGGUGAAAUGGACCACUCUUUGAAAAGCACAAAAUGUCCUGCCAAUGCAAAUCCUUACUUGCCCCACUCUCUUAUUUUCAUGGAACGGUGAUAAGUGCAAAGAAGAAGUAAGAAGUGUCUAAUGUCUGCAAGUGAGUUAAAAAAGAGUACUUUGGCAAGAACACAGGGUUAUUUUAUUAGCUAUUACUCGGGGAUCAUAUGCCCUGUGUAUGCCUUUAAAAGAAUACUGUUUUUUUUUUUUUUUUAAUCAUGCUGUUAUCCUUCUGGCCCUCAAAUUCUUUCAGGUUGGUGGCAGUUAGUCAGUUUCUCUUCCUUCGCUGCCUGCCCUCACAAGGUGAAAUACCAUCCCCAAUUGGGGGCUGCCAUCUAGCUAGCUGCUUGGCUAGAUGACGGGCUUCCUUUAUUUCCACUGGCUAACGUCUCAACAGUACUGUGCUCUGGCUUUUAAUACCUUCCGCAGGAAGCCACAAGAAUGACCCUCAAAACGCGCGGGUCUUUCUGGAACUCUUCACCUUGAAUUUUUAAGCCUUCACCCUCUCUUAAGUUCUGGCCUCUCUUGCCUUCUGAAACCACAAGGCAGUUAGAGAUUCUAAUCUCCCAACAGAAGUCACUUUGGCAUCCACAGUCAGAUGUCACCUGGGGUCACAGUCGCCUGUAUGCGGUGGAAAGUUCUAAGCAGUUGCAGUUGCUUUUGUGAUAUGCCAGUUGACUUGAAGACAGAAGUCCAAAACCCAACAGGAAGAUGGAAUGACUGGGAAGUAGGGGAAAAAACAGAAAAGCACAGUGGUGCUCUCCUGCGAAUGCAGCAUCUGUCCCACCUCCACGCAGUCAAGCAAAGCAGAGGGCAUGUGAACCGAAAAAUUUAAGGUUCAGGUGUGCCCAAGCAGCAGCUGUAUCUGUUUAUCAGAGGGUUGCCCUCGAUCCAGAGAUAUUUUGAUAAUGCAGUAAUGAAGAUUGGCUUCCUUCUAGAAAUGACAGUCCUUAACCAGUGAAUGACAGAGUCUGAUAAUUCUGGGAAGAGGCCUGUAGAUUGUCACCUGGGGAGUCCAGCAGAAAACCAAUCCUGCAACUCCAGAAAGCUGGACAGGCGCUUCAAAAAGCCCACUUUUUCCUAUACUGGGAGUGGUCAGCUCUCUCCUUCCUCCAGGCCCUUGGAGCCUUGGGACUGUCUCCUAUUGCUCUGCAGAGUGGGCUGUGUUGGACACAGUGCAAAGAGUAAAAUCAAUGACGCAAAUGGGGAGAACUGCAGUGACUCAAGCUUCUCUUGCCUUCUCCUUACAUAAACUUCAAGAGCAUCUAGUUCAGGAGAAGCAUCCACAUUUCAUUCAACAUGACACGCUCCCUAGGAAACUUUCCACAGUGCCCACAUCACUAGAGGCUGGACUUGCUGUGAUCACCAUGGCUCUUGGGCCAACCCUGGAAACAUUCCAAAGACACAAGCUUGGCAAGAAGCCUAAAGAGAAAUACCCAGAAGUCCUAUGGGUUAUUGAAUCUCAAUGUGCACUUCUCAGACAAGGACUUGUAGGAAGGCAGACACGACAGGAAAGGAGGUCUCAGGAAAGCUCUCUGAGUCCCAAUUCCUAGUCUUAGCUUCCCCUGCUGAGGGUACUGAUCGAUUUGGAAUGGUGGACUGGGACCUGGAAUUUCAUGUACAGUUCACUUUCUACAAAGGGUGCUUCUCCAGCUUUGUGAAGGAAAGGAGAAGCUAUGCGAGAAGGAAAGAGAUGGAAGUGGCAAGAGGAAAGGAGGGGCAGUCAGCAGCAAGAUACGCAUUGUCACGUCACGACUUGAUUCAAGUUUUGCUGGACAGACGCUUCAGGGCCUUGCUUUUGCCCUCAACCCACAGAUCCGAGGGCGGCCUAGUGAGGCACAGCUCCCCUCUCCCCCCACCACAGGAGUGUUUGGGUUGGAGGAGGAGGUGUUAAAUUCCAGCCUCAGCACAAAUCUUGAAGACUGCCAAUCCAGGUGUGGCAAACAACAAAAUGUGCUUUUGCUUUCCUUUGCUCUUUCCUUUCUUGCCAAUCAAGAGUGAAUGGAUUCUGAGCUUUUGCCGGUACUUAAAUUAAUUUUUGAUGAGAAAAUAAAGUUGAGGGUGGGGAGUGGGAGUUAAAAUUACAGCCUGCUCUAUGAAGGCAGAGUAAUUUCUGGAAGGUCAUAGCUGCUACUGGUGAGCGUGGCCUGGAGUUAGGAACAAUGUACUUGCUGUUUCAGGAGCAAAUCCAGGCUGGAGAAGGCUCUCUCUGCAUAACUCAGGGUUGGAUUUAGCUCUGCAUUCAUGCAGACCUCUCUGACCAUUGAUGGAUGAGCUAGCGCUGUAUGAGCAUCGGCCUGUCGCUGACCCACACUUUAUUCUUUAGUCCUGAGGUCACAGCAUUUCCAUGUGGACUUAUGAUUCCAGUGAGACAGGGAGAGUAGGGGAAGAAGCUGGCAUGGGCCCUUGGCUCUUUUAUUACCUAGGACAGUGCUUGGAAUGCCAUAGGUGCUCAUCGUGCGCAUGUUGAGAAAAGAACUUACCAAUGCAGCCCUAUUCUCUAUAGUUGUUCACUGAGGAGACAAAAGCAAGAUACAGGGGGUGCUAUUCAAUGAGAGAAACAUACAAGGAUCUCCUUUUUUUUUUUUUUGGAAAUGAAGUUUCUCUCGUCGCCCAGGCUGGAGCGCAGUGGUGCGAUCUCAGCUCACUGCACCCUCUAUCUCCCAGGUUCAAGCGAUUCUCUUGCUUCAGCCUCCCAAGUAGCCAGGAUUACGGGUGCCUGCCACCAUGCCCAGCCGAUCCUUUUGUACUUUUAGUAGAGAUAGGGUUUCACCAUGUUGGCCAGGCUGGUCUCAAACUCUUGACCUCAGGUGAUCUGCCAAAGUGCUAGGGUUACAGGAGUGAGCCACCGGGCCCAGCCCACAAAAAUCUGCUUUAUUUCUCUCUUUCUAAACCUAAACAUUAGAUAUGCCAUUGAGCUUUGUGAGAAAGGGAAUGAAAGAAGCAUUACUUGAAGUGAGUAAUCCAUGCUUUCUUGCCUCUACUUUAGGGGCAAGGAACCACUUUGGUGUUGUGCAUGAGAACGGGGACCCUGCGGGCAGAUGGCUUUGGAUCAUCGUCCUCCCUCCAUUACUUUGUAGCCAUCAGACCUAGGGCAAGUUACUUCGCCUCUCUAUGCCUUGGCUCUUCGUUUCUAAACUGAUAACAUUAACAGAGCCUAUGUCCUAGGAUUGCUGUGACAAUUACAUAUAAAUGAGUCAACAUAUGUGUAGCAUGCAGAACAAUGCCAGGCACACAGCAAGUGCUAUUUAUGUUCUUCUUUCCUCCUCCUCCUCUUCCUCCUCCUUCUCUUACUUUGUACCAGACCCUUUAUAUAGAUUGUCUUAUUCCGCAUACAAUAGCCCUGUAAUGUAAACCCUAUUUUAUUUAUUUUGAGAUUUAGGGAACUGACUCUACACCACAUUAAGUAAUUUGUUUAAGGUCUCGCAUCUAGUGAGUGUUGGAUACUGUGUUGGAGCUUCAGUCUGUCUGACUUCAAGGCCUCUGCUCCUUGCAGAGGUUUGACAUGUUCCCUGCUUGCCAUCGUGGUGGCGUUCUCUCAACCACCAAAGCUCACGGAAACAUGCCACUCAGAUCAGCUUCCACCGGAUGCUGACAGAGGAGCAAUUAUACCUCUGCCAAAGAAAGUUCUCAGCGCCAGUAAGGGUUCUGGCUACUGUGGUAUACUUAAAGGAAAUGAAUUUAGGAAGUUUUAAUUAAGAUUUCAAGGACGAGAAGAGGAAAAUGUGAAGGAGAUGGAAUAAAUAUUCUUCUACUUUGAUUGGUAAGGCCAAAAUUCCCUUUUGCUAUCUCAUGAAGAUUGAGGUCCUGGGAUUCAGGAAUAGGAUGCUUUGUUAUUUGGUAUUAAAAAGCAGUAGAGCUCCAAAUAUAUGCAAUCAAUCCCUCCCAUCUUUAGGGAAACCUAAAUCUAAGCUGCCUGGUAUAGAGAGCCACUUGUCCUGUGAGAAAAGCCACUUUUCUAAGAUUUAACAGAGAAUAGGAGCAGGAAAGAGAAAGACUAGUGUAAGGCAGUUGCUAGAAGAACAGAAUUGCUUUACAGUUCUGACUUCAUAACCUCGUUUUCCUGACCCGAUAAUUCUGAGAUUAACUUCUCUGGGUGUAUCUAGAAACUAUUGCUUCUGUGAGGUGGUCACCAGACCAGGUGACCUUUUAAGUUUAAUGUAUUAGAGCCAGCUGGGUCUUUGAGCCAGUCUAAGGAGGCUUGUGAAUAUUUGCAAGCCUUGUUUCUCUGCCUGGUGGCUUUUCAGUGCUACCUAAGCAUCUAUACAGCUAUUGUGUCUGACCUGCUCUGGGGACUGAAACAUAUGGUUGGAAGAGGAGGCAGUGGUUUUUUUUUUCUCCAGUAGAUUUCUAAAACCUUUAAAUGAAGUAUUGCUCAUAUAGAGAAAAGCACAUAGAUCAUAAGUAUAUAGUCCAAUGAGCUGUCACAAAAUGAAUGUACCUGGGUAAGUGCCACUCAGGUUAAAGAAUAGAGCAUUAUCAGCACCCAAGAAAUCCACUAAUAUUCCCUCCAAUUUAUCAUGCUCUUCCUUCUCUCCAAAGGUUACCACUGUCCUGACUUACAAUGCCAUAGGUUAGCUCUAUUUGUAUUUGGGCCACAUAUAAUUAGAAUCACAUGUUAUAUAUUCUUUUAGGUCUGGCUACUUUCACUUACUGUUAUAUUUAAAAGUUUUAUUAGAUUUGCAUGUAAUAGGAGUUCAUGUAUUUUCAUAGCUGAAUGAUUUUCCAUUCUGUGAAUAUACUGUGAGUUAUUUACCCAUUCAAUUGUCCAUUUAAUGGAUAUCUGGGUUGUUUAAAAUGUGAGGUUAUUAUUAAUAAUGCCACCAUAAGCAUUCUUAUACAUGUCUUUUGUGUACUUUUCUGUGGGAGUACAGACCUGCAAGUGGAACUGCUGAGUCAGAAUGUACACAGAGUACUCAGCAUCAGAGGAGACCUGCCACUUUCACCAAGUGUGUGUGUUCAGAAUCCUUGCUAACAAUUGGUGUUGUCAGGCUUUUAAAUUACAGUCAAUCUGAACCUGAGGACUCCAAAUUCCCAGGAGAUAGUGGAGCUGCGAGAUUUCUGGAGGCUGGAAAGUCCAAGAUCAAUGCACCAGCAUGUUAAUUUCUCAGUGAGUCUCUGCUUCCAAGAUGGUGCCUUCAAUACUGCAACCUCUAGAGGGAAGAAGAGAUGUGUCCUCACAUGGUAGAUGGCAGAAGGGC